rnacentral:rRNA from 1 species
ACCUGGGAACUGCAUUCAAAACUUGUAUACUGGAGUACGGAAGAGGCGAGUAGAAUUCAUGGUGUAGCGGUGAAAUGCGUAGAUAUCAUGAGGAAUACCAAUGGCGAAGGCAACUCGCUGGUCCGAAACUGACGCUGAGGUGCGAAAGCGUGGGUAGCAAACAGGAUUAGAUACCCUGGUAGUCCACGCCGUAAACGAUGAGAACUAGCCGUUGGAUCCUUGAGAUUCAGUGGCACAGCUAACGCAUUAAGUUCUCCGCCUGGGGAGUACGGCCGCAAGGCUAAAACUCAAAUGAAUUGACGGGGGCCCGCACAAGCGGUGGAGCAUGUGGUUUAAUUCGAUGCAACGCGAAAAACCUUACCAACCCUUGACAUCCAGAGAAUUUUCUAGAGAUAGAUUUGUGCCUUCGGGAACUCUGUGACAGGUGUUGCAUGGCUGUCGUCAGCUCGUGUCGUGAGAUGUGUGGUUAAGUCCAGUAACGAGCGCAACCCUUAUCCUUAUUUGCCAGCACUUCGGGUGGGAACUCUAAGGAGACUGCCGUGAAUAACACGGAGGAAGGCGGGGACGACGUCAAGUCAUCAUGGCCCUUACGGGUUGGGCUACACACGUGCUACAAUGGGAGAUACAGAUGGCUGCGAAAGCGCGAGCUGGAGCCAAUCCCACAAAGUCUUCCUUAGUCCGGAUUGGAGUCUGCAACUCGACUCCAUGAAGCAGGAAUCGCUAGUAAUCGCGAAUCAGAAUGUCGCGGUGAAUACGUUCUCGGGCCUUGUACACACCGCCCGUCACGUCAUGGGAGUGUGUUGCACCAGAAGUGGUUUGCCUAACCUUUGGAGGGCGGCCCCCACGGUGUGAUACGCGACUGGGACGAAGUCGUAACAAGGUAGCCGUA